GACGUAUCUGAAAGGGAUACUUCUUCGGACAAUAUACAAGGUGCUGCAUGGUUGUCGUCAGCUCGUGCCGUGAGGUGUCGGGUUAAGUCCCAUAACGAGCGCCAACCCCUAUCAUUAGUUGCCAUCAGGUCAAGGCUGGGGACUCUAAUGAAACUGCCUACGCAAGUAGUGAGGAAGGUGGGGAUGACGUCAAAUCAGCACGGCCCUUACGUCCAGGGCUACACACGUGCUACAAUGGCCGGGUACAAAGGGCAGGCUACCUGGGUGACCAGGAUGCUAAUCUCAAAAGCCGGUCUCAGUUCGGAUCGGAGUCUGCAACCCGACUCCGUGAAGCUGGAAUCGCUAGUAAUCGCGCAUCAGCCAUGGCGCGGUGAAUACGUUCCCGGGCCUU
rnacentral:rRNA from 1 species